rnacentral:lncRNA from 1 species
AACAGAGAUAAUUUAUCUUUAUUAAUUCAUUGGAAGGAAAAAAUAGGUUUCGUUUUGGGACGGUAUAAAUAAUUACAAACAUGUUUGUGUAAAGUGUUACACUGGGACAGGGUUUCCCAAAAUAAGGAAUUUUGUGGAGAUGGCACAGAUUUGUUGUUCCAUUGUUCCCACUGUGAUAUCCUUUGGAUCUUUCCCUGGAAAUGGAACAGGAAAGGAUUUCAGGCUCUUUUCCCCAUGAAUUCCCAGCACAGCCCUGCUCUGCAGCAUGAAGAUGUUCAAGGACCAAAGAGACACAAAAAACCCCCGAAACCAAAAACCAGCACUAAAAAAAAAUUAUGAACUCCUAAAGCAGGUCCAUCUGCUGGCUCCUAAAAAGAAAUUUAUAUCCUUAGGAAAAGCCACUCGGGUUUCAAAGGACAUGAAGAUCAUUUAUGACUUCUUGCCUUUGAGUAAAAAGUGGUUUAUGGUGUCUUCCUCUUCCCACCUUUAGCUCGUUGUGGGAACGGGGCGACAGCUGAUAUUUACAGGAAUUAACGGGAUCAGGAAAGGAAUUGUUCUUGAUCCCUCCCUUGGAAAUUCGAUGGGAUUCACAGUAACUUAAUUGGAAAAGAGAGAAAUCAGAUCAGAAGAGAGCAGUUGACCUGUAAAACCACGGCGAUAAAAGAACCUCUUUUAUCAGAUGUCAUAAAAGAGAUGUUCUGAGGAGGAGCAACGCUGAGAUUCAGGGCAUGUUUUAUGUCCCUGCCUCUGCCAGAGCUCCCGGGGACCCAGGUCAAGACAUAAAGUUUGUGUUGCUCAGCCCCACAUGGAGCAGGACACGGACUGGAACAGCCCCCAGGGGUUUGCAAUUAAAGCAGAACAAAGAUUCUGCACUGAACAGACACAAACCCUUUUAUCAUCCCAACUCCGCUCCGGGGGAAUUCAUCCCUUACUCAACCAAAAUCUCCAUUUCAGCUCCACCUGUAAAAGAACGUUGGAAUCCUCAUUAUUCAAUUAGACAGAGACAGCAGCAAUAAAAUAUUCCUUUUUUUGCAGCAGAAGCUGAGUGAUAUUUCCUUGAAUACCUGCAGCCAUAUUCCCUAAUUGCUGCCUCAUAUAUCCUAACUGUAUUAUUCCUGAUUUCCAAGUGUAAAUAAAUGUACUGCUUGGGAUGAUCAUAUUUCACACCAAUUUAUUUGAAUGACAUUAAUGAGUUCUCUCCACCACUGAGACCUUGCUUGGAGAGCUGGGCUCUGUUUUCCUGCCUGUA